AGUUCCCCUUCAUCUUCCCCCUCAGCAACAUCUGCUUCAUAAUCCUUCUCCGUGGCAGCUAUGUCCUCCUGGAGAGCUCUCCUUCCUUCUUACUCUCCCCGACAUACCAAUGGAAAAAGGCAUGCUUGGCAAACAUCAGCUCAAACUUGUGGUCCAGGCAAGCCCAGGCUUCCACAAUGGUGGUUGUGUUGCUCGGCAUGCUAUACUUUGGCCAGGUCACCCCAGGGACCACUGUAGGGGGCUGGUAGUUGAUGCCCACUUUGAAACCAGUAGGGCAUGCUAUGCUUGGUCUUGAUGGUGGCAAUAGCAACACUUGUCAGAGUAAUUUACGCAGCACAGCAGCAGUUGGAUGGAGUCAGUGGAAUGGAGAACGAAGAGACACCCAGAGACAUUGGUAAAACUAUAUACAAAGUUUUACUGUACAAGACAAACAGACUUGCAGAAAAUAGACACAGGACUCUCACUCUAGGCAGACAGAACUGAACUGAACUGAUGUAAUCAGUAAUGCACAAACACUUGUGUCUGGACACUCCCCAGUUCCAGCCACACAUCAAGGUCAUCACAGCUUCUCAGUAAUUAACUCUUUACAGACUAUAGUACACUCUGGAUGAUGCAAUCAGUAUGCAAUACAAACCAAGACACAAAUUGCAUUUAAACACUAUCAAUACACAAAUCCCACAUUAACAACACUGAUAUCUUUAGGAACCACAUCCCCACAGUACAAGAGGCAGCAGUCCAUGUAUUUACUGUGAUGAGGAUCGCAUUUCAUUACCUAGUUGGCUGGUGUCAUGUAUCAUGUUCCACAGUUGAUGGUUGUUGGUGGUGUCAUGCCUAGCAGUUGGUGAUGGAAGGGGUUAAUGUCAGUCCUAGUUCUAAAGGGCAGAGUAAUCUGUAAGUAAGAAUUUGCAGGUGAGAGCAAUUAAGGGUGGAGGCCUGCAAGAGAUAGGAUGCAGCUGGGUUUAACUGGUUAUAAGGAGCUGGAAACUGAUCUUUGGGAGAAAAGUAUUUGUCCUACUUUGGCUGUGGAUGCUGAUGGUUUUCCCCCCAGGUUUGUGGAUUUUUGGUAUCCUGACCAGUCUCCUGAACUCUUGGAACUCUGGAACCUUGAAUCUCUGGACUGACUAGUAAUAAAUACAGUCAGCCCUCCGUAUGUGCAAGUUUCCUUUUUGUGGGUUUUAUUAAUAGUGUGAUUCCAGGUGUGGUCUGACCAAGGGUAGCAUCACCUCCCUGGUUUUAGACAUUAGACUCCUAUUUAUGCAGGCCAAAAUCCCAUUGGCUUUUUAAGCUGCCGUAUCACAUUGUCAGCUCAGGUUUAACUUGUCCAUGAGAACAACACUAGUUUUGUCAACAUCUCCUGUCUCCGCCAUCCAACCAAUUUAACAGUCAUCAAGCACAUUGAGCAAUGGUCAGAUGGUAACUGGGGUGCAGCAAGAUGAAGUCUUCAGCUUUCUCUUGCCAGUGAAUGAGUCUGUGAGAUAUUAUGUUGGGGUUCUGCUUAGGUUGCCUCAGCUUUCCUGUUCAGGAGACGAUUGGAAACACCAUCCUCCUGAGACUCAUCACCAUCCGAAUAAUCUCCACUAUCCAAUGUAGCUGCUGGCUCCUAAGGGUUGUACAGCGUAUUCAGCCCUGAGAAAUGUAUGCUGUGUUGGUUGGGGGCCACAAACAUGGCACAGGGUGCAUCUACACUGUAGAAUUAAUGCAGUUUGACAUCACUUUUAACUGUCACGGCUCAAUGCUAUGGACUAUGGAAAACUCACAGCAACCCAGUGAUUCCGGCCAUGAAGCAUUCGACAACACAGUUCUCUGGUUCUUCAGCCUUGAUGUGGAUUUUUUCAGUCUAUUUUGGAGAAGCCCAUGGAGAAAUGUCUCAAUGUAUCCGACACCAGUUUGAAUCCAUUGCUCCAUUGUGUCGUACACCAUUGGAAACCAAACCUGCUCCAUCUUCAAUAUGGCACCUGGUCAAAUAUUUAAACAUGGAUAUCAUGUCCCUUCUCCACCUCCUCUUCUCCAGGCUAAACUCAAAAGGCUCUCUCUAAAGUCUUCUAGAUCUUUGGCCAUUGUGGUUGCCCUUCUCUGGACACUCUCCAUCUUGUUCAUAUUGAACUGGACACAGUGUUAUUCCAGGUGAGGACUGACCAAUGCAGAAGAGAGGAGACUUUUCUCGAUCUCAACAAUAUCCUUCUGUCCAUGCAGCCUUGAAUUGCAUUGGCUGUUGACUAAUGUCCAGCUUGUGCUCUACUAAGAGUCCUAGAUGUCUUUGACAUGGACUGUUUUUCAAGCAAGGUGUCUCCCAUCUUCUAUCUCUGCAAUUUAGUCUAGUAAAGGCUGUGGUGCAGGCUGGUGAGCAGCCAGCUGCAGCCAGCUGCAACAAAUCACUCUGACCAGAGGUCAUGGGUUCGAUACCAGCUCGGAGCCUGCGUUUGUCUCUGUCUUUGUUCUAUGUUAAGGCAUUGAAUGUUUGCCUUAUAUGUGUAAUGUGAUCCGCCCUGAGUCCCCUUCGGGGUGAGAAGGGUGGAAUAUAAAUACUGUAAAUAAAUAAAUAAAUAAAUAAAUAAAAGUAUUCCAGGAAUGUUUUGCUUCCCUCGAACUUGACAUUAUAACAUUAAUAAUAACAUGGCUGUGUGCACAAGCUUUUAACGAGUAAUAUGAUAACGUCGACAUGGUCCGAUUGAAGGCUGAAGCAUGAGGUUUUUAGACAAAUGGAUCUAAUUUACUUAUGUUUUAAUUUUUAUAAUGUAUUUUAAUGAUGUAUUUUUAUAGUUUUAAUUGAUUAUAUGUACUGUUUUUUGUUUUAUUAUUAUGUUCUUGGCAUUAAAUGUUGCCAACUGUGUAAGCCGCCCUGAGUCCCCCCGGGUGAGAAGGGCGGGGUAUAAAUUCUGGAAAUAAAUAAAUAAAUAAAUAAAU